GCACUGAUAGCUCAGUGGUAGAGCAAUCGGCUGCAGUUCCAGGGUCCUCGGUUCAAAUCCGGGUCAGUGCU